AGUAGCCGCGGUAAUACGUAGGGUGCAAGCGUUAAUCGGAAUUACUGGGCGUAAAGCGUGCGCAGGCGGUUUUGUAAGUCUGUCGUGAAAUCCCCGGGCUCAACCUGGGAAUGGCGAUGGAGACUGCAAGGCUAGAAUCUGGCAGAGGGGGGUAGAAUUCCACGUGUAGCAGUGAAAUGCGUAGAUAUGUGGAGGAACACCGAUGGCGAAGGCAGCCCCCUGGGCUAAGAUUGACGCUCAUGCACGAAAGCGUGGGGAGCAAACAGGAUUAGAUACCCGCGUAGUCCCUGUCUCUUAUACA
rnacentral:rRNA from 1 species